UACGGAGGGGACUAGCGUUGUUCGGAAUUACUGGGCGUAAAGCGCACGUAGGCGGAUUUGUAAGUCAGAGGUGAAAGCCCGGGGCUCAACCCCGGAACUGCCUUUGAAACUAGGUAGCUAGAAUCUUGGAGAGGUCAGUGGAAUUCCGAGUGUAGAGGUGAAAUUCGUAGAUAUUCGGAAGAACACCAGUGGCGAAGGCGACUGACUGGACAAGUAUUGACGCUGAGGUGCGAAAGCGUGGGGAGCAAACAGG
rnacentral:rRNA from 1 species